GAUGAACGCUGGCGGCGUGCCUAAUACAUGCAAGUCGAGCGAACAGAUGAGGAGCUUGCUCCUCUGACGUUAGCGGCGGACGGGUGAGUAACACGUGGAUAACCUACCUAUAAGACUGGGAUAACUUCGGGAAACCGGAGCUAAUACCGGAUAAUAUAUUGAACCGCAUGGUUCAAUAGUGAAAGACGGUUUUGCUGUCACUUAUAGAUGGAUCCGCGCCGCAUUAGCUAGUUGGUAAGGUAACGGCUUACCAAGGCAACGAUGCGUAGCCGACCUGAGAGGGUGAUCGGCCACACUGGAACUGAGACACGGUCCAGACUCCUACGGGAGGCAGCAGUAGGGAAUCUUCCGCAAUGGGCGAUAGCCUGACGGAGCAACGCCGCGUGAGUGAUGAAGGUCUUCGGAUCGUAAAACUCUGUUAUUAGGGAAGAACAAAUGUGUAAGUAACUAUGCACGUCUUGACGGUACCUAAUCAGAAAGCCACGGCUAACUACGUG
rnacentral:rRNA from 1 species